rnacentral:rRNA from 1 species
GUGGGGAAUCUUAGACAAUGGGCGCAAGCCUGAUCUAGCCAUGCCGCGUGUGUGAAGAAGGCCUUUUGGUUGUAAAGCACUUUAAGCGAGGAGGAGGCUACCGAGAUUAAUACUCUUGGAUAGUGGACGUUACUCGCAGAAUAAGCACCGGCUAACUCUGUGCCAGCAGCCGCGGUAAUACAGAGGGUGCAAGCGUUAAUCGGAUUUACUGGGCGUAAAGCGCGCGUAGGUGGCCAAUUAAGUCAAAUGUGAAAUCCCCGAGCUUAACUUGGGAAUUGCAUUCGAUACUGGUUGGCUAGAGUAUGGGAGAGGAUGGUAGAAUUCCAGGUGUAGCGGUGAAAUGCGUAGAGAUCUGGAGGAAUACCGAUGGCGAAGGCAGCCAUCUGGCCUAAUACUGACACUGAGGUGCGAAAGCAUGGGGAGCAAACAGGAUUAGAUACCCUAGUAGUCC